rnacentral:rRNA from 1 species
AUUGAACGCUGGCGGCAGGCCUAACACAUGCAAGUCGAACGGUAACAGGAAACAGCUUGCUGUUUCGCUGACGAGUGGCGGACGGGUGAGUAAUGUCUGGGAAACUGCCUGAUGGAGGGGGAUAACUACUGGAAACGGUAGCUAAUACCGCAUAACGUCGCAAGACCAAAGAGGGGGACCCACGGGCCGCUUUCCAUCGGAUUUUCCCAGAUUGGAUUAGCUUGUUGGUGGGGUAACGGCUCACCAAGGCGACGAUCCCUAGCUGGUCUGAGAGGAUGACCGGCCACACUGGAACUGAGACACGGUCCAGACUCCUACGGGAGGCAGCAGUGGGGAAUAUUGCACAAUGGGCGAAAGCCUGAUGCAGCAAUGCCGCGUGUAUGAAGAAGGCCUUCGGGUUGUAAAGUACUUUCAGCGGGGAGGAAGGGAGUAAAGUUAAUACCUUUGCUCAUUGACGUUACCCGAAGAAGAAGCACCGGCUAACUCCGUG